rnacentral:rRNA from 1 species
ACUCCUACGGGAGGCAGCAGUGGGGAAUAUUGGACAAUGGGCGAAAGCCUGAUCCAGCAAUGCCGCGUGUGUGAAGAAGGCCUUAGGGUUGUAAAGCACUUUCAGCAGGGAAGAAAAGCUCGGGGAUAAUACCCCGGCCGUGCAUCGGUACCUGCAGAAGAAGCACCGGCUAACUCCGUGCCAGCAGCCGCGGUAAUACGGAGGGUGCAAGCGUUAAUCGGAAUUACUGGGCGUAAAGCGCGCGUAGGUGGUUUGGUAAGUCGGAUGUGAAAGCCCCGGGCUCAACCUGGGAAGCUGCAUUCGAUACUGUCAGACUAGAGUAUGGUAGAGGGAAGUGGAAUUCCGCAUGGUAGCGGUGAAAUGCAUAGAGAAUGCGGAGGAAC